UGUAAUCAGGAAUGCUUUUGCUUGCUUUGAUGAAGAAGCAACAGGGUUCAUCCAGGAAGACUACCUGCGGGAGCUGCUGACGACAAUGGGAGACAGGUUCACGGAUGAAGAGGUGGACGAGCUGUACAGAGAGGCACCCAUCGACAAAAAGGGGAAUUUCAACUACAUCGAGUUCACACGCAUCCUGAAACAUGGAGCAAAAGACAAGGAUGACUGAGCAAAUCCAUGGAUACCUGCAGAUUAUCUCUACACUCAUGUUUAUUUUUAAGGGUUUAUUCCUGAUAGAACUUGUUGCAUGCAUUUAGCUUUACAGCUUUUGCCUUUCUCAAUGUAUUUAUCUAUUCCAGGCCAUUUAGGCAUAUUUGCACCUGUGUAAUCAGACUGGAAGCGGGGAAAAUAUUGUGAGGAAAAGGAAAUGGGGACGAACAUCCCUGGAGUUGAUACUCCAGGAAAAUAAUCUCAAUAUUUCUGGUUUAGCUGGAUUUUUACAUUUUUGUAAUAAAUGCCAUUUUGAAAUAAAGAUUGCUAUAUAGAUAAAAUACCUCAAAAUCUUUUGUGAAGAAUGACAUUUCUAUUGUGCAUUUACAAAUGCAGGUGUGUUCAUUGUAUUUUACUUGCAGUUGCAAGUCAAGUUGAAAAACUCGUUUUCAUACUGUUUUGUUCAGUGUCACAGGGUUCUGAAAUGCUCCUAGCAGGAUGUGCUGGCAUCUUUAAAAAUGCAGCUGUAGCUGUAGAAGUCUUUCAGGUUUCUGAAGUGGGAUCUGACUAGUGUAAGUAGUUAACCAAAGAAGUGGUAAGGGAAGACUGUUACAGUUGCCUCAUGGCCAGCAGAGAACAUCUAUGAUUCUUAAGCAGAUAUCAUGCCCAGCUGUUGUUUUCUUUUAAUACUGAUGGAAUAGCAAUAUUUUCAUGUCAAAGUGUACAUUCCUCUUUGCUAAAUCUUUAUGCUGGCAAUAAGUGGGAAUUAGGCAUAUUUUUCCUUCAGCUGAAGGAAGCUUGUGUGAAGGAAUCCAUGCUGGCACUAAUUAACAGCAAUACAUGGCCACAAAACCUAUAUAAAGCUUUAUUGUUCUGCAGCUAAUGUAUUUGCAUGUGAGAAUGUGAGCAGAGGAUUACUUGGUAAAACCCUAUAUGUGCUAAGUUCCUCUCACUUUUUAAAAGAUCGUACAUAUUCCUCAGCUAUAUUGAUAAGAUGACUUUUAACCAAGCACAGUCAUUCAUUCAAAACCGGUUGUGCUGAUGCUGUUGUCUCAAAUACGAAGAAAGGGGGAAGGUUUUUCUGUUAGUUCUUCAUAUGACCAUGUCCUAUGUGCGUCACUCUCUUGGCUACUGCAAGCUGGAAAGCCUAAGAAGAAUUUAUUUUGCCUGUUUAUCAUUUAAAAUGAUGACUAGAAAGCAUGUCCUGAGCUAUAUCACAUGACUUAAGACCACAAGGAAUAGGAGUUUUACUUCAGCACAAGAGUGUGUGAAGGCUCUGACAGCUUAUACUGUAAGGUGGGUUUGUCUCUCAUGUGUUAGCACAAAGGCUUGGUUACUUAAUCUUGCUUGUGUUCCCAGUAUGGCAGCUCUGGAAGAUACUCUGGCAUUAGGUUUGUAAAUAAGUUGACAGAGUAUACACAGUUAGCAUAUACUUUGAUUAUUUUUUUAUUUUUUUAUUCCUUGGUGGUUUCUUUCACUUCUGGGCUUAAUUAAAAGGAGUUUUCAACCAUUA